rfam:Nematostella vectensis strain CH2 x CH6 NEMVEscaffold_32_Cont5592, whole genome shotgun sequence.
AGACGUGUUUACACGGCAGGCAUUUUAUGUUAUGCUUACCUGCAAGAGACGUGUUUGCACGGCAGGAAUUAUAUGUUAUGCUUACCUGCAAGAGACGUGUUUACACGGCAGGAAUUAUAUGUUAUGCCCACCUGCAAGAGACGUGUCUACACGGCAGGAAU